AAAAAUAAAGGUGCUGCGCCACAUCGGGGCUGCAGCCAUUGUCUAUCUGUCUGUGGUGUCUGUGUUUUUUGUUCUCUCAUGUCACCCAAAGAAAACGUGCGGAACGCUACAUCUGGCGCCCAACGUGGGGCUCGAGUGGACGACCCCACUGUGAGGCAGGACCUCACAACCCUGAAGAAAUUGGAGAGGGGAUGCCAGGGGUGACUUGAGACCCAGAAGGGGACCAACAUCGGUUCCUGUGUGGUAAUCUCCAAUAGGUUCUUCACUAUGGCAUAAAAGUCAUAUCAAGGUGUGGGGCAAAGAGUUUGCUGUGUUGUUACAGAGGAUCAACGCUUGAUCUAGCUACCCAGAGAAUGAAUUCAGAUACAAUAUAAAGAAGAACUUCCAACAUCAACAUCCUCUAGAAGAAUCAUUCCAGAAGGUGACCAUCAAAAAACCUCAACAAAAGUCUGCACAUCAGACAUGGAAAACUGAAGCCCAACUAAAUAAUAGUAUCUUUGUUUUUAUUUCCAAUAAUGGCACUUACAUAUGUACAUACUACACAAGCUUGCAUUAUAACAGCAAGUGUAAGCAACCCUCCUUAUUUAAGCCGUGGUGUAGCUCUGUAUUGCUUAUCUACUUGCUCCACUCCUAUAGGCCCUAUAGUAUGGAAAAAGAAUGGUGAAGAAAUAUAGAGACAAAUGAUGGAGGAAAACUUGGAUGGAAUGAUAUUCUGUUAGAGAUGGUGAUCAUUGUGGUAUUUAUAAAGCAGUUUUGUCCAGAGAAGAUAUUGGCAAUUACACCUGUGAAAAGUUUCAAAAAAGAACUCCUAUCAUAGAGUAAUUAUGUGUAUAUUUAAAUAUAUCACUCAUGCCAGAAAAUAAUUUUUCCUCACCUAAUUUGUGGUUACAACAACUCGCAAGUAAGGGUUGCACAUGUCAUCUUUUUGUGUAGCAAGAGAGUCCUCUAUCAGUGAACUGCUGAAGAAGAAUUUAAUAGGCACAAGACUUCCUCUUACAGUGUUCACUAACAUAUCAGGCAUAAACAUCACUCUUCCCCCUGAAGUGCUUGCUCCUGAUGCCCAAUUAAAUUUACCUGUUAGUAUUACUAUAAUUACUGAUUGUAUUAAUUGUACUCAUGUACCCUCUUACUGUGAUUCUACAAUCAAUGUAAAAUGGUCUUCUAGAUAUAGACUUCUGAAUGGUUGGGUAUUUUUGUGUGAUAAUGAAACAUAUCAAGCCCUCUCUCCACACUAUCAAGGUGUUUGUGGUGUGGGAUGCAUUCUUCCUGCCAUAAUAAAUCAUCCAAGAUAUAAGCCCAAUAGACUUCUCCGAGCUCUGCCAUCUGAUUGUGAUGAAAACUUGAAACUUUCAGAUCCUGCCGCUAUUGCAGUUGCAGCUGCGUUCCUCCUGCAGGUUCCUGGACUUGUCGUUAGAAUGUUAAAGGAGAUAUCUAAGCUGGCCUGCGCAUAUAGUAAAACAACAAAUUUGACUGCUUCUAUAUUAUCUGAACUCAACCAAGAACUGGGAGAAGUGCGAGUUGCGGUACUUCAGAAUCACGCUACUAUAGAUUGUCUGCUGUUAAUAGAACAUGAAAAAUGUAAGCAGUUUCCAAGAAUGUGCUGUUUUAAUUUGUCUGAUUUUUCUCAAACUACCCAAAAUCAAUUAGAUGAUAGCCAUCAUAUUGUCAAUAAGUUUUUACAAAUGCCUGAGCUAUCUAACUGGUUUUCGUAAUUUCAUUAGAUAUAACUAUUAAUUGUAAGCCUGCCUUUGUUAUGUAUCUGUAUUCCUAUUCUGUUAAUGUGUGUAUGCAAUUUAACUAGUAGUUUGUUAAAACCUAUAUAUAUAUUCAAAUUAUGUCUGUCAACAUGUUCGAUCUCAGCCAUGUAAUAUUUAAAGAAAGGAGGAGAUGUAGGGGAAGGCCUUUGUCUUCUCACAUGUCUGAAGGCAGAAUGGGAAAGCACCUUCCCCCAUGUCUGAAAGCAGCAUAGGAAAGCACCAGCUUGAGAACAACCGGUGCAGUCCUUGGAAGUUAUCCGCCCACAAAAACAUAUCUUGUCCUCAAAGACGAGCCAAGACACCUCACUCUGAAAAUAGGGAGACCUUAAGGACGUGUGAAAACACCGCCCCUGCUUACCAGGCAGUUUCUAAGAAAAUCAACAAGGUGCUCUGGCCUGCCCCCCCUGAGAAGAGAAAGAUGAGAAAGAUCUCACUUGGCUGAGAUCCGAGAAAGACAGUAUAAAAAUAAAGGUGCUGCGCCACAUCGGGGCUGCAGCCAUUGUCUAUC